rnacentral:rRNA from 1 species
GUUGUAUGGUUAAGUGACUAAGCGUACACGGUGGAUGCCUUGGCAGUCAGAGGCGAUGAAAGACGUAGUAACUUGCGAUAAGCCCAGAUUAGGUAGUAACAACCAUUUGAGUCUGGGAUUUCUGAAUGGGGAAACCCACGUGCAUAAGCACGUAUCCUUACCUGAAUACAUAGGGUAAGGAGGCGAACCGGGGGAACUGAAACAUCUAAGUACCCCGAGGAAAAGAAAUCAACCGAGAUUCCGAAAGUAGCGGCGAGCGAAAUUGGACUAGCCCUUAAGCUUUACACGCGUUAGACGAACGGUCUGGAAAGUCCGACGAUACAGGGUGAUAGUCCCGUAGUUGACGACGUGUGUUCAGUGAAAUCGAGUAGGGCGGGACACGUGAUAUCCUGUCUGAAUAUGGGGGGACCAUCCUCCAAGGCUAAAUACUACUGACUGACCGAUAGUGAACCAGUACCGUGAGGGAAAGGCGAAAAGAACCCCUGUGAGGGGAGUGAAAUAGAACCUGAAACCGUGUACGUACAAGCAGUAGGAGCAGGCUUUGUCCUGUGACUGCGUACCUUUUGUAUAAUGGGUCAGCGACUUAUAUUCAGUGGCAAGGUUAACCAUCUAGGGGAGCCGUAGGGAAACCGAGUCUUAACUGGGCGUUCAGUCUCUGGAUAUAGACCCGAAACCAGGUGAUCUAGCCAUGGGCAGGUUGAAGGUUGAGUAACAUCAACUGGAGGACCGAACCGACUAAUGUUGAAAAAUUAGCGGAUGACUUGUGGCUAGGGGUGAAAGGCCAAUCAAACCUGGAGAUAGCUGGUUCUCCCCGAAAGCUAUUUAGGUAGCGCCUCGGACGAAUACUACUGGGGGUAGAGCACUGUUAAGGCUAGGGGGUCAUCCCGACUUACCAACCCUUUGCAAACUCCGAAUACCAGUAAGUACUAUCCGGGAGACACACGGCGGGUGCUAACGUCCGUCGUGGAGAGGGAAACAACCCAGACCGCCAGCUAAGGUCCCAAAUUACUACUAAGUGGGAAACGAUGUGGGAAGGCUCAGACAGCCAGGAUGUUGGCUUAGAAGCAGCCAUCAUUUAAAGAAAGCGUAAUAGCUCACUGGUCGAGUCGGCCUGCGCGGAAGAUGUAACGGGGCUAAGUAGUAAACCGAAGCUGCGGCAAUGUGCUUUUGCACAUUGGGUAGGGGAGCGUUCUGUAAGCGGUUGAAGGUGUGUGGUAACGCAUGCUGGACGUAUCAGAAGUGCGAAUGCUGACAUGAGUAACGAUAAAGGGGGUGAAAAACCUCCUCGCCGGAAGACCAAGGGUUCCUGUCCAACGUUAAUCGGGGCAGGGUAAGUCGACCCCUAAGGCGAGGCCGAAAGGCGUAGUCGAUGGGAAACGGGUUAAUAUUCCCGUACUUCUUACAAUUGCGAUGGGGGGACGGAGAAGGCUAGGUGGGCCUGGCGACGGUUGUCCAGGUUCAAGUGCGUAGGCUUAAGAGUUAGGUAAAUCCGGCUCUUUCUAAGGCUGAGACACGACGUCGAGCUACUACGGUAGUGAAGUCAUUGAUGCCAUGCUUCCAGGAAAAGCCUCUAAGCUUCAGAUUGUAAGGAAUCGUACCCCAAACCGACACAGGUGGUCGGGUAGAGAAUACCAAGGCGCUUGAGAGAACUCGGGUGAAGGAACUAGGCAAAAUGGUACCGUAACUUCGGGAGAAGGUACGCUCUCGACGGUGAAGUCCCUCGCGGAUGGAGCUAUUGAGAGUCGCAGAUACCAGGUGGCUGCAACUGUUUAUUAAAAACACAGCACUGUGCAAAAUCGUAAGAUGACGUAUACGGUGUGACGCCUGCCCGGUGCCGGAAGGUUAAUUGAUGGGGUUAGACUUCGGUCGAAGCUCUUGAUCGAAGCCCCGGUAAACGGCGGCCGUAACUAUAACGGUCCUAAGGUAGCGAAAUUCCUUGUCGGGUAAGUUCCGACCUGCACGAAUGGCGUAAUGAUGGCCACGCUGUCUCCACCCGAGACUCAGUGAAAUUGAAAUCGCUGUGAAGAUGCAGUGUACCCGCGGCUAGACGGAAAGACCCCGUGAACCUUUACUACAGCUUGGCACUGAACAUUGACCCUACAUGUGUAGGAUAGGUGGGAGGCUUUGAAGACGGUACGCCAGUAUCGUUGGAGCCGUCCUUGAAAUACCACCCUUGUAGUGUUGAUGUUCUAACGUUGACCCCUUAUCGGGGUUACGGACAGUGCCUGGUGGGUAGUUUGACUGGGGCGGUCUCCUCCCAAAGAGUAACGGAGGAGCACGAAGGUGGGCUAAUCACGGUUGGACAUCGUGAGGUUAGUGCAAUGGCAUAAGCCCGCUUGACUGCGAGAAUGACAAUUCGAGCAGGUGCGAAAGCAGGUCAUAGUGAUCCGGUGGUUCUGAAUGGAAGGGCCAUCGCUCAACGGAUAAAAGGUACUCCGGGGAUAACAGGCUGAUACCGCCCAAGAGUUCAUAUCGACGGCGGUGUUUGGCACCUCGAUGUCGGCUCAUCACAUCCUGGGGCUGAAGUCGGUCCCAAGGGUAUGGCUGUUCGCCAUUUAAAGUGGUACGCGAGCUGGGUUUAGAACGUCGUGAGACAGUUCGGUCCCUAUCUGCCGUGGGCGUUGGAAGAUUGAAGGGGGCUGCUCCUAGUACGAGAGGACCGGAGUGGACGAACCUCUGGUGUUCGGGUUGUGUCGCCAGACGCAUUGCCCGGUAGCUAAGUUCGGAAUCGAUAACCGCUGAAAGCAUCUAAGCGGGAAGCGAGCCCUGAGAUGAGUCUUCCCUGAUACUUUAAGUAUCCUAAAGGGUUGUCGGAGACUACGACGUUGAUAGGUCAGGUGUGUAAGUGCUGUGAGGCAUUGAGCUAACUGAUACUAAUUGCCCGUGAGGCUUAACCAUACAACACCCAAGGGGUUU